GAUGAACGCUAGCGGCGUGCCUAACACAUGCAAGUCGAACGUGAGGGGGUACUUGUAUCCCUGAAAGUGGCGGACGGGUGAGUAAGACGUAGGUGACCUGCCUCGAAGUGGGGGAUAACCAUUGGAAACGAUGGCUAAUACCGCAUAAGCUGGUGACGAUGGGAAUGGUUAUCAGGAAAGCUUUAGUGCUUUGAGAGGGGCCUACGGCCGAUUAGCUAGUUGGUGAGGUAAAGGCUCACCAAGGCGAUGAUCGGUAGCUGGUCUGAGAGGACGAUCAGCCACACGGGAACUGAGACACGGUCCCGACUCCUACGGGGGGGCAGCAGUGAGGAAUAUUCGGCAAUGGGGGGCAACCCUGACCGAGCAACGCCGCGUGGAGGAUGACGGUUUUCGGAUUGUAAACUCCUUUUCUCAGGGAAGAGCGAGGACGGUACCUGGGGAAUAAGUCACGGCUAACUACGUGCCAGCAGCCGCGGUAAGGUCGUCAUGU
rnacentral:rRNA from 1 species